rnacentral:antisense_RNA from 15 species
CAUUAUGGCGGGCUGGCGGGGGCGCUUCGGCGCGCCGGUUUCCUCUAACGCCGGUAUUGCAAACCUCGUCAGUUCGCCACCCAU